rnacentral:rRNA from 1 species
AUUGAACGCUGGCGGCAUGCCUUACACAUGCAAGUCGAACGGCAGCACGGGAGCAAUCCUGGUGGCGAGUGGCGAACGGGCGAGUAAUACAUCGGAACGUGCCCAAUCGUGGGGGAUAACGCAGCGAAAGCUGUGCUAAUACCGCAUAAGAUCUACGGAUGAAAGCAGGGGAUCGCAAGACCUUGCGCGAAUGGAGCGGC